rnacentral:rRNA from 1 species
AGCGAACGCUGGCGGCAGGCCUAACACAUGCAAGUCGAACGAACCUUUCGGGGUUAGUGGCGGACGGGUGAGUAACACGUGGGAACGUGCCUUUAGGUUCGGAAUAACUCAGGGAAACUUGUGCUAAUACCGAAUGUGCCCUUCGGGGGAAAGAUUAAUCGCCUUUAGAGCGGCCCGCGUCUGAUUAGCUAGUUGGUUGAGGUAAUGGCUCACCAAGGCGACGAUCAGUAGCUGGUCUGAGAGGAUGAUCAGCCACAUUGGGACUGAGACACGGCCCAAACUCCUACGAGAAGCAGCAGUGGGGAAUCUUGCGCAAUGGGCGAAAGCCUGACCCAGCCAUGCCGCGUGAAUGAUGAAGGUCUUAGGAUUGUAAAAUUCUUUCACCGGGGACGAUAAUGACGGUACCCGGAGAAGAAGCCCCGGCUAACUUCGUG